UCCUGUUCACAAGGACCCUCAACUGGCAAAGCUCCCAUCCUGCCCUGACCCUGCCAUGAGCACCAGUCUCCUCUGCUGGAUGGCCCUCUGUCUCCUGGGGGCAGAACUCGCAGAAGCUGGAGUUGCCCAGUCCCCCAGAUGUAAGAUUACAGAGAAAAGCCAGGCUGUGGCUUUUUGGUGUGAUCCUAUUUCUGGCCAUGCUACCCUUUACUGGUACCGGCAGAUCCUGGGACAGGGCCCAGAGCUUCUGGCUCAAUUUCAGGAUGAGAGUGUAGUAGAUGAUUCACAGUUGCCUAAGGAUCGAUUUUCUACAGAGAGGUUCAAAGGAAUAGACUCCACUCUUAAGAUCCAGCCUGCAGAGCUUGGGGACUCGGCCCUGUAUCUCUGUGCCAGCAGCUUAGCCACAGCGUUGCACAGACCUUCUCUCCUGUGCACAAAACUCCAGGGCUCUCUCCGCUCUACUCAGCUCACAUCAGCCUUUCGUUAUUUCUCAUCCUCCCAGGGAAGAACAAAGCACAAGUCCCCUGUGUCCUGGCGAGAGAGCACAUUUGUGCUGUUUCUGCCUACUGGCCACAAGGAGGCACUGUGGCUUUGUUGUCAUCACAGUCAAAUGGGGAGGGGCGAAGAUGGCUCCUUGGAAGAUUCUUAA